rnacentral:sRNA from 1 species
UAUUUUUCUCCUGUUUCCAGCAGACAGAGACUUCUAUAGAAAGCCACAGCUAAUCCAACUGUAGACUUGUAGAACACGGUUCUAAUGGAUACAUCUAAAGACUCUUUCUGCACCUAGGAUCCAGGAAACAUUGCAGAAGGGGGGAUGGAAAGACUGUAAAAACCAGAGGCCUGGGGAGUUCGCUGUGAAAUUGUGUCUCCUGGUAAUAUCAGAAGCUAAAGCCAUAAAGCCUCACCGACAUGACUGCCCAAAUGUGAGCUAGACCAGGAUGACACCAACAGACGUGACAAAGAGUAUGGGGAAUGAAUGUGGUUGAACUUGCUGAGGAGAGAGCAUAUAGAGUCUGAUGAAGAGUGGGCAUAAAACAAGCCUUGAAAAAUGCCAAAUCCGAAGACUACGGCAGAGAGAGAACAAUGGACUGAAAUAUUAUGAAAGGCAUAAGACGCUUUACUGUGAGUGAAGUCAACCCACAGAAUCAUGAGGAAGAAAUGUCAAUCCGCUGGUUUGGCAAGGGUAAGUAGGAAUGAAAAAAAUUAUUCUCCUCCU